CUCCCAGCUCCCAUCUACACUUACCUCCCUGGCUGAGAGGUCAAAGAUGACAAUCCAUUAGUCCUUAUCAAGUGGCUUAAACUCUCAGAACUAGCACUAACUUUGUCUGAACAUUAUAUAAAUCUGCAUCCUGGUCAAAAGUAAAACUGUUAGCACACGACCCCCAUACCUCUCAAGAGAAUUCCACCAUGCCCAGACCUGCAUCACCCAAGAGAAGGAUCCACAGUUGCAAGAAGACUAUGCUUCUAAUUCUGGUGUUUUUUGAGGUGUAUUUAUAUACAGCCCAGACUCUGAUAUGUCAUAAGUGCAAUGACAGUGAGGAUUGUACCCAGCAAGAAACCUGUGCAGAAGAUGAAAACGUCUGUAUCACGGAGAUAAUAAAAAUGGCAAACCUUACCGAAGUUCUUAAGAAAUGUUUCACAAAUUGUGAAGACUUCUCUGAGGAAGAGACCUUUGAGAAGAAAGACACCAGUACUACAAACACA